AUGCAGUCGAGCGGUAGCACAGAGAGCUUGCUCUCGGGUGACGAGCGGCGGACGGGUGAGUAAUGUCUGGGAAACUGCCUGAUGGAGGGGGAUAACUACUGGAAACGGUAGCUAAUACCGCAUAACGUCGCAAGACCAAAGUGGGGGACCUUCGGGCCUCAUGCCAUCAGAUGUGCCCAGAUGGGAUUAGCUAGUAGGUGGGGUAAUGGCUCACCUAGGCGACGAUCCCUAGCUGGUCUGAGAGGAUGACCAGCCACACUGGAACUGAGACACGGUCCAGACUCCUACGGGAGGCAGCAGUGGGGAAUAUUGCACAAUGGGCGCAAGCCUGAUGCAGCCAUGCCGCGUGUGUGAAGAAGGCCUUCGGGUUGUAAAGCACUUUCAGCGGGGAGGAAGGCGUUAAGGUUAAUAACCUUGUCGAUUGACGUUACCCGCAGAAGAAGCACCGGCUAACUCCGUGCCAGCAGCCGCGGUAAUACGGAGGGUGCAAGCGUUAAUCGGAAUUACUGGGCGUAAAGCGCACGCAGGCGGUCUGUCAAGUCGGAUGUGAAAUCCCCGGGCUCAACCUGGGAACUGCAUUCGAAACUGGCAGGCUAGAGUCUUGUAGAGGGGGGGUAGAAUUCCAGGUGUAGCGGUGAAAUGCGUAGAGAUCUGGAGGAAUACCGGUGGCGAAGGCGGCCCCUGGACAAAGACUGACGCUCAGGUGCGAAAGCGUGGGGAGCAAACAGGAUUAGAUACCCUGGUAGUCCACGCCGUAAACGAUGUCGAUUUGGAGGUUGUGCCCUUGAGGCGUGGCUUCCGGAGCUAACGCGUUAAAUCGACCGCCUGGGGAGUACGGCCGCAAGGUUAAAACUCAAAUGAAUUGACGGGGGCCCGCACAAGCGGUGGAGCAUGUGGUUUAAUUCGAUGCAACGCGAAGAACCUUACCUGGUCUUGACAUCCACAGAACUUUCCAGAGAUGGAUUGGUGCCUUCGGGAACUGUGAGACAGGUGCUGCAUGGCUGUCGUCAGCUCGUGUUGUGAAAUGUUGGGUUAAGUCCCGCAACGAGCGCAACCCUUAUCCUUUGUUGCCAGCGGUUAGGCCGGGAACUCAAAGGAGACUGCCAGUGAUAAACUGGAGGAAGGUGGGGAUGACGUCAAGUCAUCAUGGCCCUUACGACCAGGGCUACACACGUGCUACAAUGGCAUAUACAAAGAGAAGCGACCUCGCGAGAGCAAGCGGACCUCAUAAAGUAUGUCGUAGUCCGGAUUGGAGUCUGCAACUCGACUCCAUGAAGUCGGAAUCGCUAGUAAUCGUAGAUCAGAAUGCUACGGUGAAUACGUUCCCGGGCCUUGUACACACCGCCCGUCACACCAUGGGAGUGGGUUGCAAAAGAAGUAGGUAGCUUAACCUUCGGGAGGGC
rnacentral:rRNA from 1 species